rnacentral:rRNA from 1 species
GAACGCUGGCGGCGUGCCUAAUACAUGCAAGUCGAGCGAACAGACGAGGAGCUUGCUCCUCUGACGUUAGCGGCGGACGGGUGAGUAACACGUGGAUAACCUACCUAUAAGACUGGGAUAACUUCGGGAAACCGGAGCUAAUACCGGAUAAUAUAUUGAACCGCAUGGUUCACUAGUGAAAGACGGUUUUGCUGUCACUUAUAGAUGGAUCCGCGCCGCAUUAGCUAGUUGGUAAGGUAACGGCUUACCAAGGCAACGAUGCGUAGCCGACCUGAGAGGGUGAUCGGCCACACUGGAACUGAGACACGGUCCAGACUCCUACGGGAGGCAGCAGUAGGGAAUCUUCCGCAAUGGGCGAAAGCCUGACGGAGCAACGCCGCGUGAGUGAUGAAGGUCUUCGGAUCGUAAAACUCUGUUAUUAGGGAAGAACAAAUGUGUAAGUAACUAUGCACGUCUUGACGGUACCUAAUCAGAAAGCCACGGCUAACUACGUG